ACUUAAGUAGUAAACUAAUUUUCUUAAACCAAAUAAAAUCAAUAAGUAUAAACACAAAACUGAGCAGAUACUUCAAUCAAUCGAUAAGAAUGAAAAAGAGUUUAGAAUUACACCUCAUGAGAGAAAAUUUCCAAAGCUAACAAAGAAAUUUCGCAGAAAUCCUACUGUUGGUUGUUAACAAAAAACGAGAACACACUGACAAACCUCGACGCUCCUCAACCAAUUCGAACCAAAAAUAUACUGGAGCUCAAAUGAUGAGCCAGAACUUUUAAAACCUAAACUGAGCUUUUAAUUUUGAUGGAGAUAAAAAUGAGUAAAAAAAUCCGAUUCAAAGAUCGUUGAUAAUGGAGUUGCAACCUGAUCUAUAUCCUUCACGCAGCAUUAACAAAGAAAGCGGAGAUGAUGGAGAAUGAGCAGCAAUGAACUCUGGCGACAAAGCAAUGAGGUCCGGUGGCUGUUCUACUGCUUCAAGAUGGAGGAAGAGCAGCUAAGUUGGUCUUAGGGUUAGGCCUCUUCUAGGGUUUGAGGUCUCCAUGAAGAAGAACGAACAGCUUGUUGGAAGAGGACUGCUAUUAAUAUUUGGAGGGAGGCUUUUAGGCUAAGGGAAUUUUGGAAGAGUAGAAAGAUUUUGGAGAAGAGAAGCUUUUAUUACUCAAACUUGUUUUUGAUUUUUUUGGCUUGAUACAAAAUGAGCAAUCCUACACCUAUUUAUNN
rnacentral:lncRNA from 1 species